UUUAAAGGCCCAAAACGGUGAAAAACAAGACGAGCUAAUUCAACCAAAGAAAGAGAGGGAAGAGAGCCAAGUCCCCCCUUUUCUUUCUCUUUCCCCCCUUUUUCCUUCUUCUCUUUCUCUUUCUCUCGUUUGUAAAAAUCAAGGUAAAACCAGUGCAUUUGUUCAAUUGUGAA
rnacentral:ribozyme from 13 species